rnacentral:rRNA from 1 species
UACAGAGGGGGCAAGCGUUGUUCGGAAUUACUGGGCGUAAAGGGCGCGUAGGCGGCCUUCUAAGUCGAACGAUGAAUCCCCGGGCUCAACCCGGGAACCUGCGUCCGAGACUGAAAGGCUCGAAUCCGGGAGAGGGAUGUGGAAUUCCAGGUGUAGCGGUGAAAUGCGUAGAUAUCUGGAGGAACAUCGGUGGCGAAGGCGGCGAUCCUGGACCGGUAUUGACGCGUGACGGCGCGAAAGCCAGGGGAGCAAAGCGGG